rnacentral:rRNA from 1 species
CUGGCGGCACGCCUAACACAUGCAAGUCGAACGAAGUAGCAAUACUUAGUGGCAGACGGGUGAGUAACAUGUAGGUAUCUUCCCUUUGGCCUGGAAUAACACGAGGAAACUUGUGCUAAUACCGGAUAAGUCUUCACGGAGAAAGCUUUAUGCACCAUUGGAUGAGCCUGCACUUGAUUAGUUUGUUGGUGGGGUAAUGGCCUACCAAGACUUUGAUCAAUAGCUGAUUUGAGAGGAUGAUCAGCCACAUUGGGACUGAGACACGGCCCAAACUCCUACGGGAGGCAGCAGUGGGGAAUCUUGCACAAUGGAGGAAACUCUGAUGCAGCGAUGCCGCGUGAGUGAAGAAGGCCCUUGGGUUGUAAAGCUCUUUCGUCGGGGAAGAAAAUGACUGUACCCGAAUAAGAAGGUCCGGCUAACUUCGUGCCAGCAGCCGCGGUAAUACGAAGGGACCUAGCGUAGUUCGGAAUUACUGGGCUUAAAGAGUUCGUAGGUGGUUGAAAAAGUUGGUGGUGAAAUCCCAGAGCUUAACUCUGGAACUGCCAUCAAAACUUUUCAGCUAGAGUUUGAUAGAGGAAAGCAGAAUUUCUAGUGUAGAGGUGAAAUUCGUAGAUAUUAGAAAGAAUACCAAUUGCGAAGGCAGCUUUCUGGAUCAUUACUGACACUGAGGAACGAAAGCAUGGGUAGCGAAGAGGAUUAGAUACCCUCGUAGUCCAUGCCGUAAACGAUGUGUGUUAGACGUUGGAAAUUUAUUUUCAGUGUCGCAGCGAAAGCGAUAAACACACCGCCUGGGGAGUACGA